rnacentral:rRNA from 1 species
UACGAAGGGGGCUAGCGUUGCUCGGAAUCACUGGGCGUAAAGCGCACGUAGGCGGCUUUCUAAGUCAGGGGUGAAAUCCUGGAGCUCAACUCCAGAACUGCCUUUGAUACUGGAGAGCUAGAGUCCGAAGAGGUGAGUGGAACUGCGAGUGUAGAGGUGAAAAUUCGUAGAUAUUCGCAAGAACACCAGUGGCGAAGGCGGACUCACUGGUCCGGUACUGACGCUGAGGUGCGAAAGCGUGGGGAGCAAAC